UCCCUGGUAGUAUAUCGGUUAGUACACGCGCCUGUCAUGUUGUAGUAGUGGCUCAGAUAAUCGCGCGAAAGCUGGGUUCGACUCCCAGCCAGGGAG